rnacentral:rRNA from 1 species
AACGUAGGAGGCGAGCGUUAUCCGGAUUUACUGGGCGUAAAGCGCGUGCAGGUGGUUCGGUAAGUGAUGCGUGAAAGCUCUUGGCUCAACUAGGAGAGGACGUGUCAGACUGCCGAACUGGAGACAGACAGAGGCAAGUAGAAUUCCCGGUGUAGUGGUGAAAUGCGUAGAUAUCGGGAGGAAUACCAGUGGCGAAGGCGGCUUGCUGGGUCUGAUCUGACACUCAGACGCGACAGCAUGGGUAGCGAACGGG